CCUACGGGAGGCUGCAGUGAGGAAUUUUGCGCAAUGGGCGAAAGCCUGACGCAGCAACGCCGCGUGAGGGAUGAAGGCCUUCGGGUUGUAAACCUCUUUUAGCUGGGAAGAAAAAAAUGACGGUACCAGCAGAAAAAGCACCGGCUAACUCUGUGCCAGCAGCCGCGGUAAUACAGAGGGUGCAAGCGUUAUUCGGAUUUAUUGGGCGUAAAGCGCGUGUAGGUGGUUUGCUAAGUCUGAUGUGAAAGCCCUGGACUCAAUUCAGGAAGUGCAUUGGAUACUGGCAGGCUAGAGUAGAGGAGAGGAAAGCGGAAUUCCAGGAGUAGAGGUGAAAUUCGUAGAUAUCUGGAGGAACAACAGCGGCGAAGGCGGCUUUCUGGACUCUAACUGACACUGAGACGCGAAAGCGUGGGGAGCAAACAGGAUUAGAUACCCGUGUAGUC
rnacentral:rRNA from 1 species